UAACCUCUGACGAAAAUCGUGUAUGUUA
ncrna:unclassified sequences L19-Flavobacteria ribosomal protein leader